rnacentral:lncRNA from 1 species
UUUUUUUUUUUUUCCCGGGGAGUCGGCCUCGGGGCUCUGCUCUCCUACCUCAGUCUGCCCUACCCUGGAAUGGGGAAAAUGCGGACAUGCCACUCAGUCCGGCCGCGAACAGUGCUCCAGAACUCAGAGAGUUUUCCAGACGGGUGGAGAUCGCGUUCCCUGCCCGCCGAGGUCCCAUCGCUUCCCUGCUGGGAAGACAAAUGAGGCGCUUUAGCCGUCUCCACGGCCAGCCCCUCCCUCAUAACCCGAGAUUCUUUGUGGGCUCUUAGUCCAUAGCUGCCUUUGAGGUGGUGUAGACCUUGCUAACCAGGACGGCCCAGUAGGCAGAGCUCAUUUUUAUUCCUGUCUGCAAUCGUGCAAAAACGCCUCUUAUGGAAAAGCCAGAGCGCCAGGAGUCAGCAAAACACACUAAAGAUUGGGCAGUCACUGGGGAGAACACUCAGCCCGCCUGCACCCAGGUGAAAUAUACAGCCUUGUUGCUCACACAAAGCCUGUUUGGUGGUUUCUUCACACGGAUGCAUGUGACAUUUGGUGCUGAAGACCCAGGACAGGAGGACUCCUUUGGGAGACCAGUGCCCUGUUGUCGCCCUCACUCCGUGAGGAGAUCCACCUAUGAUCUCAGGUCCUCAGACCAACCAGCCCAAGGAACAUCUUGCCAAUUUCAAAUCGGAUAGGAGUGUCAGGCCUCUGAGUCCAAGCUAAGCCAUCAAAUCCCCUGUGACCUGCACGUGUACAUCCAGAUGACCUGAAGCAACUGAAGAUCCACAAAAGAAGUGAAAGUAGCCUUAACUGAUGACAUUCCACCAUUGUGAUUUGUUCCUGCCCCACGCUAACUGAUACCAUAUAUUCUUCCCCCGCCCUUGAGAAUGUACUUUGUACACCUAUCCCAAACCUAUAAGAACUAAUGAUAAUCCUACCACCCUUUGCUGACUCUCUUUUUGGACUCAGCCCGCCUGCACCCAGGUGAAAUAAACAGCCCUGUUGCUC